UCUACAGCUCGAUACUUAUUUAGAAUGGGUCGAUACGGUGUAUUAUAUCAACGAAAAUGACUUCACGGGAAUAACUCUCGCGCCCUGUAGAUUUGUCGGAUUUCGUUAAAUUUUUUUUAUCUGAAAGAUGAGAAAUUUCAACAGGUCAGUUCAUAGCUCGAUUUUUCAUUUUACUUUGAAUAGUAGUAGAAAAAAACGUCUGAAAAAAGACAAAUAUUAUGCAUUUUUCAAAUGCAUAUUCCAGUUUCUAUAAUUAAAGUUUUCAAAAUCAGGCUUUGAUUCGACCCACAGAAUGUUCUCUACUUUAAGAUAAAAAAAAAUUAACGAAAUCCGACAAUUCUACAGGUCAUGAGAGUUUUUCCUGUUAGACAUGUAUUUGUACCAAAAAACGCACCGGCACUGACACCCUUAACUGUUAAGUAGUUAAGUUUAGUUCAUAUAAAAAAUGAUAUACCAAUUAAAAAUGUUUAAAUAGAAAAAAUUUAUAUUUUGUAUUAUUAAGUUCUGGUGUCCAACAACUUUAAAAAGUGAUCGAACAAACUUGUUUACACAUCGUAGAAGAAAAAUAAUUACUCCAACAACUUUCCUAAGUUUUUAAAUCACCAUUUUGUUCAAGCACUACAUUAUUCAUGCAAUGAACAGACGAAUAAUGGAUUUGGAGGCCAUACAGUUGAUAAUUUUAAUUCACCCAGAAAAGCUUUAGAUACUCAAUAAUGUUUAAUUCACACAUACUUAUGCAAGUAUAUCACUCAAGUAUCCAAUUUUAAAUGUUUGCCAAACCUAAAAGUUAAUUAAUAGUUUAUCGUUUUUAGUUCAUACAGUGGAUUAUAAUCAUUAUAUGAUAAUCAAAAGUGAAAUAUAUCAUGUAUCACAUACAAGGAACUAGGAAGUCAAGUCAAUAUAUUCACAACUUUCAAGACUUUGACUUUCUUGAAGAUUUUCCUAAGAUUCUCCUAACCUAACCUAACCUAACCGCCGUCUCAGAUGAAGCCAUACAAUAUUGGAGCGAAUUUUGAAACAUAUAGUUUACACACAGAUCUUGCCCGUCUCUGAUUUAAACAAUUGGUUCAAAAGCCACCUCAAGCUGUUAUCACACGUGUCAUUUGUGAAUCCGUGACUAUUGAACAAGAUUUGUUGACAAAGUCUUUACUUGUUAGGAUGAUUGGCUUUAACUGUGGAAAAUAUGUCCACAAAAAAUAUUGAAUUUAUCGCUGAUAGGCUGUUAAACGAAUUGGAGUGUCCUACAGCUAGUUUACAGAUUGUCAAACUUGUUCUUGUUUACAACAACAAAAGGCAAACUGCUUUAAAAAUGAGUAGGCGAUUACCAAAAAGCUUCAGCAGCUGUUAUUAAAAUUCCUCAAUUAUCAACAAUGAUAAAGACAUAAUUGAUGAAGACUUUUAAAUUAGAUAUAUUCUGAUAGGUACCUAUUUCCUUUUAUUUUUGUAAAUAUUUUUUCUAUGUUUCCUCCCACCAUCCAUCAGAAAGUAAUAAUAGUCUAUUCAGAAUAAGAACACACCAGGCGGCUAUGGUCAAAACUGGUGUGCUCUUAUUCUGAAUAGACUAUAGUUACUUUAUUUAACCAAUAAAAACUAUACCAAAGCACUCUGGAAUUAUUUUGUCAAUGUCAUAUUUAAGAAAACUUUAUUUUUAAAUUUUAUAAUAAAUAGAGAAGUAUUUAAAAUGUUUAUAAAUUAUACUAUGAUACUUUUCAUAUUUCUCGUAUUUACAGUUCAAUAAAAUUGUAUUUUAAAAUUUAGAAAUAUAUGACUAAUGUGUUGUAAUUUAUUGUUAUACUUGCUGCAGUUAUUCGUACAUACUAAAUAAGAAAUUCUUACUAAGUAAGCAGAAAUAAAUUAAAAUAUAAUAUAAGAUAUUGCCGUAGCCAUCAUCAAAAAACAGUUAAAACAUUUUGUUUUUCAUCUCUAUGGACUUAAAACUAAACCUUAUGAUAUUAAUAUGUUGAUUUCAAUUUUUUAGAGAGAAACAAGUUUAUUUAAAGUGAAUUGCCCGUCUGUUGGAUUGCCUAUAUGACUCAGUGUAAAAAUUCAGACAUAAUUAUUUUUGUAAUAUUAUAAAAUAUGGAUAAAACAGUAUAUAAAUAAAACUAAUGAAAUUAAAAAAUAUAAAACUUAUAAUAAAAUAUUGAGUGAUUUUUGAAUAUAAAUAUAAAUCAUUAUGCUUAAAACGUGGCGAUCUAGAUUAUUAGUAAAAGAAAAGUGCUUAUUUAUAUGAUUGUGUACAGUAUUAAGAAUAUAAGUGUUUAUGAAUAAUGUUAAGCGUAUUUCGCAUGAUAACUAAACACUAACUAAGUUGUUUAGCAUUUAUUUACUUUUUAUGAACUAUUUAAUUACAAAUAGAGCGUGGACUUGUUUGAUUUUGCAUAUUUAUAUAGGUUUGUAGUAUGAUGAUAAUAUGGUAGUGACCACAGAAUUUGUUUUAUUACAAUUACGAUUGAAAUUGUGAAUCUUUUGGUCAGAAUAUUUCAAUAAUUAACUAAUUUUCUCCAUUAUAAGGACUUAUUU
rnacentral:lncRNA from 1 species